rnacentral:sRNA from 1 species
UCUCCUUAUACUAGGGUUCGAGACAUGAGGCUGUCUUUUUGGGCCUUUUGCAUUGUCACAGUCCCAGACCACGGAACAUUCUCUCUUCCCCAGGACAGGACAUUCUCUCUUCCCCAGCCUCCUUCCUGUCCUGGCGUUGAGUCGUCCAAAUGGAAAAUUCCAGCCAUAUCAAUUGGUGAUGCACCCAUUUCUUCCUGUGGAACGACAGUCUGAUGGAAUUGCUUCUGGAGUAAAUGCCCAGCUUCUUACCACUUCAGUGUCAGCCUGAAUGUUUGGAAAGUUCUAGCACCUCAAACCAUUUGCAUCUAUGAAAGCAGAACUCUAUUUUUUCCCUUUGGUUUAGCUUGUGAGUUCUCUGUGGGAGGAAGAUCUGAUAUGGCCGGCUCUCUUUCAACCCUAGUUCCAGCAGAGAGUGAGAGAGAAUGUUCUGGGUGACGGACCCUCCCAGCAAAGGGGCUUGCUUUAUUUGCUUCUCUCCCCAACCCUCCACUCUUAGCCUUUGUCUUUUGAAUAAUCCUUCCUCAUUCCACUUUUGUGGUGGGGGAUAAUUAGUCACAACUCAGUAGUAAGCCGCGCCUGCUGUAGAGAGGAAGCAUUCAGGGGGUUGGAAGUGUGGAGACCCCAGUCUGAUUCCUGGAAUCAGUGUUUUGAGACCAGGUCUUUAGCUUCUAGCUGGGCAUAUUUUUCUGCUUUGUAAUUUAACCUGUAUCUUUUUUUUCCCAUGUUCCUGCCUCAUCAGGGAAUUGUAAGAUUUAGGGGGAGGUGUGGGAAAUCUUACUCUUUGCCCUAAAGUAUUCAGCGAUCAGAAUUCUGGAUACCCUGCAAAACACCUCCAACCUCCCUGCCUUUGAACCCUGCGUUAACAAUGAGAAGCUUGUUUAUUUGAAGGCUGGGUUCUCAUUGGCCCACAGGGGUAGGUUGUAAUUGUGUGUCUAAAAAAUUGCCUUUUGCAUUCCCCAAUAGCAUGACAACUGGAAUAGUAAUUUGACUU